GCGAGCGGGGAGCGGCGGUGGAUCGCCACGGUCGAGGCCACGGUGGCGGGCGAGCUCCACCGUGCCCGCUUCCGGUUCGAUCUCGAGCCGCCCGCCCC
rnacentral:tRNA from 1 species